rnacentral:rRNA from 1 species
AUUGAACGCUGGCGGCAUGCCUUACACAUGCAAGUCGAACGGCGGCACGGGAGCAAUCCUGGUGGCGAGUGGCGAACGGGUGAGUAAUAUAUCGGAACGUGCCCAGUCGUGGGGGAUAACGCAGCGAAAGCUGUGCUAAUACCGCAUACGAUCUACGGAUGAAAGCGGGGGAUCGCAAGACCUCGCGCGAUUGGAGCGGCCGAUAUCAGAUUAGCUAGUUGGUGAGGUAAAGGCUCACCAAGGCGACGAUCUGUAGCUGGUCUGAGAGGACGACCAGCCACACUGGAACUGAGACACGGUCCAGACUCCUACGGGAGGCAGCAGUGGGGAAUUUUGGACAAUGGGCGCAAGCCUGAUCCAGCAAUGCCGCGUGCAGGAUGAAGGCCUUCGGGUUGUAAACUGCUUUUGUACGGAACGAAACGGUGAGCUCUAAUACAGUUUGCUAAUGACGGUACCGUAAGAAUAAGCACCGGCUAACUACGUGCCAGCCGCCGCAGUAA